rnacentral:rRNA from 1 species
ACAUCCACGGAAGUUUUCAGAGAUGAGAAUGUGCCUUCGGGAACCGUGAGACAGGUGCUGCAUGGCUGUCGUCAGCUCGUGUUGUGAAAUGUUGGGUUAAGUCCCGCAACGAGCCGCAACCCUUAUCCUUUGUUGCCAGCGGUCCGGCCGGGAACUCAAAGGAGACUGCCAGUGAUAAACUGGAGGAAGGUGGGGAUGACGUCAAGUCAUCAUGGCCCUUACGACCAGGGCUACACACGUGCUACAAUGGCGCAUACAAAGAGAAGCGACCUCGCGAGAGCAAGCGGACCUCAUAAAGUGCGUCGUAGUCCGGAUUGGAGUCUGCAACUCGACUCCAUGAAGUCGGAAUCGCUAGUAAUCGUGGAUCAGAAUGCCACGGUGAAUACGUUCCCGGGCCUUGUACACACCGCCCGUCACACCAUGGGAGUGGGUUGCAAAAGAAGUAGGUAGCUUAACCUUCGGGAGGGCGCUUACCACUUUGUGAUUCAUGACUGGGGUGAAGUCGUAACAAGGUAAGCGUAGAUGA